AUACGGAGGGGGCUAGCGUUGUUCGGAAUUACUGGGCGUAAAGCGCGCGUAGGCGGACCAGUCAGUCAGGGGUGAAAUCCCGGGGCUCAACCCCGGAACUGCCUUUGAUACUGCUGGUCUUGAGUUCGAGAGAGGUGAGUGGAAUUCCGAGUGUAGAGGUGAAAUUCGUAGAUAUUCGGAGGAACACCAGUGGCGAAGGCGGCUCACUGGCUCGAUACUGACGCUGGGGUGCGAAAGCGUGGGGAGCAAACAGGAUUAGAUACCCUAGUACUCC
rnacentral:rRNA from 1 species